CCCCCCCAAACCGUGAACUCUCUCUCUCUCUCUUUGGGCCGAUCAUCGUCCAAGUCGAUCGUCGGACCGCCGCGGCUCCAUCGCCGCUUGCUUUCGCCACCACCAAGCCGCACCGCCGUCCCCGCCGUUCGCCGCCGCGCUACGUUCUAGCCGCUUUAGUCUAGAACCAAAUAACCCGCCUGAACAAGGAAUCAGUCACCACCACCACCGUCAGAAUGUUUUGGUACAGUCAUGCACAUCGAGGGUAAUUUCGUGGAGUACAUCCUGAAUGGAUGCCGUACCAAGGACGCAAGGACUGGUGAGGAGGCGAUGAGCUAGUGUUCGUGUAGUACCGCUUUUGGUAGAUAAGGAAUUUGCCUCUUUAGAUGUAUGAUUUUUAAGGUAAUCGCAGUGGAUGUGCAUGUAAAAUUUAUGGACCCAGAAACAUCGGGAAGGUGUAAGUAUGUUCAUAUGUGGAUAAUGUAAGGUUUGUAAGUGUUGGCGGUUGGACGUGCAAGUUUAAUUAUGGUGUUCUCCAAUUUAUUGUCCGGGUUUAAUUAUUUGUUUCCGCUACGAUUGACUCUGA